AGGGACUUCCGCCAAGAUGGGAGCGUAGGUGGAAGCACUGUGCCUCCUCCCACAACCAAGUUUAAAAACAACAAAGUUUUAGCAACAAAAACGCAGCCAAAACCACAGAAAAUUGAACUUCACAGAAGUCUGACAACAAGGAACCCUUCAGCCAAACCGAGAGAGGAAGGCAGAGAGAGAAACAUCCAUUUGUUGUCUGUUGUACAUGCCCCGGCCACAGAUCGAAUCUGCAACCUAGGCGUGCAUCUGGCCCACGACCCAAGCACGUGCCCCGACUGGGAAUCAAACUGGCGACCUUUCAGUUCACAGGCCGACAUUCAACCCACUGAGCCACACCAGCCAGGGCUGUAAUUGCACAUUUUACCAUAAUAAAAAAUGAACAAA